rnacentral:rRNA from 1 species
AGAGAGAGACAUGCGCGCAUAUCAAUAAGCGGAGGAAAAGAAACUAACUAGGAUUCCCUCAGUAACGGCGAGUGAAGCGGGAAGAGCUCAAAUUUGAAAUCUUCAAGGUUCUACCUUGACGAAUUGUAGUUUAAAGAAGUGUUUUCUGUUGGAGUUUUGGUAAAAGUUCUUUGGAAUAGGACAUCAUAGAGGGUGAGAAUCCCGUAUUUGACCAUUAUUUCCAGCUUUGUGAUACACUUUCAAAGAGUCGGAUUGUUUGGGAAUGCAGUCCAAAAUGGGUGGUAAAUUUCAUCUAAAGCUAAAUAUUGGCGAGAGACCGAUAGCGAACAAGUACCGUGAGGGAAAGAUGAAAAGAACUUUGAAAAGAGAGUUAAACAGUACGUGAAAUUGUCAAGAGGGAAGCGUUUGACACCAGUGUUGUUUUCUCGAAAAUCAAUUAAAAAAGGCAGGAUUUUGUGUUGUAUUGACUUUAUCAGCUUUCUGCACUCUUUUCUUGUCUUUUUUAAUGCACUUUUCGUUUAACAAGUCAACAUCAAUUUCUUUUGUUGUAAAAGGGUCAUUGGAAGGUGGCUUUCUUUUCGGAGAAAGUGUUUAUAGCCUUUGGCCUCUGCAAUCGGAGAGAUUGAGGUCUGCAGCGUAGAUCCUUCGGGGUUAGAUACAUUUGUGCUAAGUUAUAGCCUUUUCAUAGACAACUUGUUGACUAUGAUCAGUCAUGUAGCUUACUCGCUUAUGCUAUUUUACCUACGCUUAGGAUGUUGAUGUGAUACUGCGAGC